rnacentral:rRNA from 1 species
UCGAGGAUCUUUAGCAAUGCCCGAAAGGGUGACUAUGCGACGCCGCGUGUGGGAUGAAGGCCUUCGGGUCGUAAACCACUGUCAGGGAGGAAGAAACCUUACGUGUUAACAGCGCGUAAGCUGACAUCACUCCCAAAGGAAGCCACGGCUAACUCUGUGCCAGCAGCCGCGGUAAGACAGAGGUGGCAAGCGUUGUUCGGAAUUACUGGGCGUAAAGGGCGCGUAGGCGGUCUUGUAAGUCCCGUGUGAAAGCCCCCGGCUCAACCGGGGAAUGGCACGGGAAACUGCGAGGCUUGAGUUCGGGAGAGGGAAGCGGAAUUCCGGGUGUAGCGGUGAAAUGCGUAGAUAUCCGGAGGAACACCAGUGGCGAAGGCGGCUUCCUGGACCGAUACUGACGCUGAGGCGCGAAAGCUAGGGGAGCAAACGGGAUUAGAUACCCCCGUAGUCCCUGAGCGGGCUGGCAAGGCGC